rnacentral:rRNA from 1 species
GCAAGUCGAGGGGCAGCAUAAAUUACUUGUAAUUUGAUGGCGACCGGCGAACGGGUGCGUAACGCGUAUGCAACCUACCUUUUACUAGAGAAUAGCCAAGAGAAAUUUUGAUUAAUGCUCUAUACACUUUAAGACUCACAUGAGUCUAAAAGAAAAGCUCCGGCGGUAAAAGAUGGGCAUGCGUUCUAUUAGCUUGUAGGUGAGGUAACGGCUCACCUAAGCUUCGAUAGAUAGGGGUCCUGAGAGGGAGACCCCCACACUGGUACUGAGACACGGACCAGACUUCUACGGAAGGCAGCAGUAAGGAAUAUUGGACAAUGGAGGCAACUCUGAUCCAGCCAUGCCGCGUGAAGGAAGAAGGCCCUAUGGGUCGUAAACUUCUUUUAUACAGGAAGAAAUCUUUCCACGUGUGGAAAGUUGACGGUACUGUAAGAAUAAGGAUCGGCUAACUCCGUGCCAGCAGCCGCGGUAAUACGGAGGAUCCAAGCGUUAUCCGGAAUUAUUGGGUUUAAAGGGUCCGCAGGCUGUUUGUUAAGUUAGAGGUGAAAUCCUACCGCUCAACGGUAGAACUGCCUUUAAAACUGGCAAACUUGAGUUAUUGUGAAGUAAUUAGAAUGUGUAGUGUAGCGGUGAAAUGCAUAGAUAUUACACAGAAUACCGAUUGCGAAAGCAGAUUACUAACAAUUAACUGACGCUGAGGGACGAAAGCGUGGGUAGCGAACAGGAUUAGAUACCCUGGUAGUCCACGCCGUAAACGAUGGUCACUAGCUGUUUGAUGUACAUUGG